UAUCGAUCCUCAAAACCUAGAAGACUUUCUGGAGGACAGGGGGGUCGAAGUGACAAAAAAAGAAAAGCAAGCUCUUCUGAAACAACUGCCAGUUGAUGCCAAAGGGAAGAUGAAUAAGAAAAAUAUAAUGGAUGCUAUACAGAAUCUUGGUGUAGGGAAAAUUGAUGUUAACAACU